UACGUAGGGUGCAAGCGUUAAUCGGAAUACUGGGCGUAAAGCGUGCGCAGGCGGUUAUGUAAGACAGGUGUGAAAUCCCCGGGCUUAACCUGGGAACUGCAUUUGUGACUGCAUAGCUAGAGUACGGUAGAGGGGGAUGGAAUUCCGCGUGUAGCAGUGAAAUGCGUAGAUAUGCGGAGGAACACCGAUGGCGAAGGCAAUCCCGUGGACC
rnacentral:rRNA from 1 species